CGAAGGGGGCUAGCGUUGUUCGGAAUUACUGGGCGUAAAGCGAACGUAGGCGGUGUUCCAUGUCAGAGGUGAAAGCCUAGGGCUCAACUCCAGAAUUGCCUUUGAAACGGGAACGCUUGAGUCCGAGAGAGGAUGGCGGAAUUCCUAGUGUAGAGGUGAAAUUCGUAGAUAUUAGGAAGAACACCGGUGGCGAAGGCGGCCAUCUGGCUCGGUACUGACGCUCAGGUUCGAAAGCGUGGGGAGCAAACAGGAUUAGAUACCCUGGUAGUCCACGCCGUAAACGAUGAGUGCUAGUUGUUGGGAAGUUUACUUCUCAGUGACGCAGCUAACGCGAUAAGCACUCCGCCUGGGGAGUACGGCCGCAAGGUUA
rnacentral:rRNA from 1 species